rnacentral:siRNA from 1 species
UUCACGAGGAAUACCACACUUUGG